rnacentral:rRNA from 1 species
UACGAAGGGGGCUAGCGUUGCUCGGAAUCACUGGCGUAAAGGGUGCGUAGGCGGGUCUUUAAGUCAGGGGUGAAAUCCUGGAGCUCAACUCCAGAACUGCCUUUGAUACUGAAGAUCUUGAGUUCGGGAGAGGUGAGUGGAACUGCGAGUGUAGAGGUGAAAAUUCGUAGAUAUUCGCAAGAACACCAGUGGCGAAGGCGGCUCACUGGCCCGAUACUGACGCUGAGGCACGAAAGCGUGGGGAGCAACAGGGAUUAAGAAACCCGGGAUAGUCCC